rnacentral:rRNA from 1 species
AAAGAGGGUGAAAGCCCCGUAGACGAAAUGCUAACAACACCUAGGAGGAUCCUGAGUACGGCGGAACACGAGAAAUUCCGUCGGAAUCCGCGGGGACCAUCCCGCAAGGCUAAAUACUCCCUAGUGACCGAUAGUGAACCAGUACCGUGAGGGAAAGGUGAAAAGCACCCCGGAAGGGGAGUGAAAUAGAUCCUGAAACCGUGUGCCUACAACAAGUCAAAGCUCGUUAAUGAGUGAUGGCGUGCCUUUUGUAGAAUGAACCGGCGAGUUACGAUUGCAUGCGAGGUUAAGUCGAAGAGACGGAGCCGCAGCGAAAGCGAGUCUGAAUAGGGCGAAUGAGUAUGUAGUCGUAGACCCGAAACCAUGUGAUCUACCCAUGUCCAGGUUGAAGGUGCGGUAAAACGCACUGGAGGACCGAACCCACGUACGUUGAAAAGUGCGGGGAUGAGGUGUGGGUAGCGGAGAAAUUCCAAACGAACUUGGAGAUAGCUGGUUCUCUCCGAAAUAGCUUUAGGGCUAGCCUCGGAAUUGAGAAUGAUGGAGGUAGAGCACUGUUUGGACUAGGGGCCCAUCUCGGGUUACCGAAUUCAGAUAAACUCCGAAUGCCAUUCAUUUAUAUCCGGGAGUCAGACUGCGAGUGAUAAGAUCCGUAGUCGAAAGGGAAACAGCCCAGACCACCAGCUAAGGUCCCAAAAUAUAUGUUAAGUGGAAAAGGAUGUGGGGUUGCACAGACAACUAGGAUGUUGGCUUAGAAGCAGCCACCAUUUAAAGAGUGCGUAAUAGCUCACUAGUCGAGUGACCCUGCGCCGAAAAUGUACCGGGGCUAAACAUAUUACCGAAGCUGUGGACUACACCAUUAGGUGUAGUGGUAGGAGAGCGUUCUAAGGGCGUUGAAGGUCGAUCGUGAGGACGGCUGGAGCGCUUAGAAGUGAGAAUGCCGGUAUGAGUAGCGAAAGACAGGUGAGAAUCCUGUCCACCGUAUGACUAAGGUUUCCUGGGGAAGGCUCGUCCGCCCAGGGUUAGUCGGGACCUAAGCCGAGGCCGAUAGGCGUAGGCGAUGGACAACAGGUUGAUAUUCCUGUACCAGUUGUUUUUGUUUGAGCAAUGGAGGGACGCAGUAGGCUAAGGAAUGCAUGCGAUUGGAAGUGCAUGUCCAAGCAAUGAGUCUUGAGUAGAGUUAAAUGCUUUACUCUUUAAGGACAAGUUGUGACGGGGAGCGAAAUAAUAGUAGCGAAGUUCCUGAUGUCACACUGCCAAGAAAAGCUUCUAGUGAGAAAACAACUGCCCGUACCGUAAACCGACACAGGUAGUCGAGGAGAGUAUCCUAAGGUGAGCGAGCGAACUCUCGUUAAGGAACUCGGCAAAAUGACCCCGUAACUUCGGGAGAAGGGGUGCUGACUUCGGUCAGCCGCAGUGAAUAGGCCCAAGCGACUGUUUAUCAAAAACACAGGUCUCUGCAAAAUCGUAAGAUGAAGUAUAGGGGCUGACGCCUGCCCGGUGCUGGAAGGUUAAGAGGAUGGGUUAGCUUCGGCGAAGCUCAGAAUUGAAGCCCCAGUAAACGGCGGCCGUAACUAUAACGGUCCUAAGGUAGCGAAAUUCCUUGUCGGGUAAGUUCCGACCCGCACGAAAGGCGUAACGAUUUGGGCACUGUCUCAACGAGAGACUCGGUGAAAUUUUAGUACCUGUGAAGAUGCAGGUUACCCGCGACAGGACGGAAAGACCCCAUGGAGCUUUACUGUAGUUUGAUAUUGAGUGUUUGUACCACAUGUACAGGAUAGGUAGGAGCCGAUGAGACCGGA